UACGUAGGGUGCGAGCGUUGUCCGGAAUUAUUGGGCGUAAAGGGCUCGUAGGCGGUCUGUCGCGUCGAAAGUGAAAACUCAGGGCUUAACCCUGAGCCUGCUUCCGAUACGGGCAGACUAGAGGUAUGCAGGGGAGAACGGAAUUCCUGGUGUAGCGGUGAAAUGCGCAGAUAUCAGGAGGAACACCGGUAGCGAAGGCGGUUCUCUGGGCAUUACCUGACGCUGAGGAGCGAAAGUGUGGGGAGCGAACAGG
rnacentral:rRNA from 1 species